GAUCAUGGCUCAGGACGAACGCUGGCGGCGUGCUUAACACAUGCAAGUCGAACGAAGAACGAUGGAAGCUUGCUUCUAUCAAUCUUAGUGGCGAACGGGUGAGUAACGCGUAAUCAACCUGCCCUUCAGAGGGGGACAACAGUUGGAAACGACUGCUAAUACCGCAUAAGCCCACGGCUCGGCAUCGAGCAGAGGGAAAAGGAGCAAUCCGCUUUGAGAUGGCCUCGCGUCCGA
rnacentral:rRNA from 1 species